CGGGAUCCCCGCCCCCUCCCCGCCCACCAGGUCCACGGAGCUCCGCCCAAACCACGCCCCCGCGCCGGAGCUGAUUUAAAUCCUGCUGGUCCCUACUUUGAACAGCGCCCCCCUCUGCUGUGAACUACCAUGGGCACGGCGGGGUCAUACACCUGGAGGGGUAACGGCAGAGAAUUACACUCAGGGACCCUAGCCCUGAGCCCCAUGGAGCCUUGUGCUGUAAGGAAUUCAAGAGUAUGCUAAUGGUGUUUCACAUGAUGGCCUGUGAAUACAUGGGAAUGAAAAUUGCUGGGAUCGAUUCUGCGAUGUAUGGCUUCUGACGGGGGCAUUCCAGGCCUGAGAUGAUAAAUUCCUCACGCUGCAGAGGGAGGCUCAGUGUUGAAGAAUUAAAUAAAGAUGAUGCAGCUUCCUGAGGUGGAAGACAGAAACUCUCAUGCUGAGAAGAAGAAACCUGACUCGUUUCUCCUGUCCUGAGGAAUGCUCAAGUUACUUCUUUGAACCCAUCCCACCUCCUGCAACUUCUGUCAUCUUUUCUUUGCCGUUUUGGGUUGCAUGUGAAUUGCUAUUAUAAAGAAAAUGUGAUUUAAGCUACUGAUCACUAAGGUAAUGGUUCUCAAAAGAAUAAGGAUUAUUUGGGUUAUUGGAGGGUCAGGAAAAGGGGACUCAAUUUGCCACGAGGCAGUAUAUGUGGGAUGUAGAGCGUGUGAAGAUGACGUGAGCUCUCAUCAAAGAGAUUCGGAGGGAUAGGUCCGUCCCCAGUCUUGGUGUUAACGGACCUCCCACAUGGUUCUUCUGCCUUAGCUUUUGAUGUGAGCAUGAACCAGUCAUGAUGCCUAGAUUUCUAUAAAUGUUGUGUCUUACUUCAUAGGAAUAUUCCACAUAUUGACAGACAAGCAAAACACAGUCAUAAAUGCUCCAAAAACAGGGAGUCAGAGAUACUUCGCUAAGAUUCUCUAACACCAACGGGAAAUAGAACUAUGUCCCAAUCCCCCAUCGAUCCAGCGCCGUGGAUGGACACAACGUCUCAGGUGCCCGCCUCUUCGCACCUGCUCCUGCGGAGCCUCCAUCCAGAAGGCUGCCCUUCCACACUCCACACCAUCAGCUCUUCUCUCUAGUUUCCCUGUGUCUGCCCUUCCCUGGAACUGUGUUCACACCCCAUUCAAGACCUCAACACCCCGACACGCUCUGUUCUGCCGACAGGCUCCCUGUGAGGCUGUGCCUUCCACGCAGGCGGCACCGGGGAUGCAAUCCCAGCAAACAUGCAUCAGGCUCCUGAGUUCCGGACAUGCUCUCUCACGGAAUCCUCACAUUCGCCCUGCGGUGCAGUGUUACCUACACUGUAUGGAUGAAGAAACUGAGGCACCACAAUUUUCAACAUUUUUACCGAAAGUCUCAAAGGUCCAAGCGGCAGAGCCAGAAUCCGAACUUGGUCUGACUCGGGGGUCUCCGUUCUUCUCUGCACGAGCCGUGUUGGCCCUGGAUAGAAUCCCAGCCUCCGCACAGGUGUUCUGAAAGUGCUUGUUGAGUUAACGGGAACAAACACCCAGAGCUAUACUUAGGAAGUUUUAACUUCAUGGACUAUAGACUCUUAUGUGAAGGAAAUGCUGAUGUAAUGAGUUUGCACCCAUGAGGCGUAGAAGAAAGCUAGGCUUCACAUGUUUUGUUUUGUUUUGAGAAUGUAUUUAUUUAUCUGAGAGAGAGCAUGAAGGUGGGGGAGGAACCGAGGGACAGAGACAAGCAGGUUCUGCACUGAGCGUAGAGCCCAACAGGGGGCUCGAGGCCAGGACCCUGAGAUCCUCACCUGAGCGGAAAUCCAGAGUCACAAGUCCGUUGCGAACAGACUGAGCUGCCCAGGCGCCCCACGUUUAACGCUUUAAAGUCAUUCUGCCAUUAUAUAUAUCAGAAUUUGUGUAGGAUCCUUUUUCCGUUCAGAUACUUUCCUAGCAUGAUGUGAACACACACCACCACAUACUCUACACGUUCCACACACUUGGCGUUCCUAGGCAGGCACAAGCUGGGAGGGCUUGCGGGGGUAAGAUUGCAACACCUCUUUCCGUGUUCUGGUAAGAAAUUCCAACAGCUCUCAUUUAAAACGUUCCCUUUGGUGGGAAGCGCCUCGCCACGCAGCACAGAGGAAUGAGAUAAGUGUUAUCAUGGCCGUUGGACUUGACUGUAGUUUAACCCCAAGGUCACUGGGAGGUCAGAGCUAAAGAAGGGAGGGAAUGUUGGCCUCUGAGCCCGCUGAGCCUCCUGGCACGUUCACUCCCCCUGUUGGCUUUCCCAAGGAGUGCUGUGUCAGCCUGUACCAGCCCUUCUCGGGGCUGCCAUUCUCCCCACAGGAAGGGAACCAACCCUGCACCGCAUUCCUGAAAGCUUGGGCACCUCCCUGAAUGGCCCUCACUCCUCUUUGCCCGUGCAGCCUGUCUCCAGUUCACACAAAAGACUCUUUCAGAAACUGGUUACCUAGAUUUGAACUUUUCAACGAGGCUUUUUAUUUUUUUUUUCCUCUAAGCUCUGCAGCUCAAAUACCAGAUUCUGCUGUUGCUAAGAUUAAGGAUUUUCUCCCUCAGCUCAGUUUCCAUUGACUAGGAAAGACCAGGAGAUGGAUUACUGUUCUCUUGCCAAAAGCAGACAGGGUGCUUGAGCUUCUGGGGCUAACACCGGGAUCCGACAUUAUUCAGGCCUGUGCUAAUAGUCCUUAGUUACUCCUCAAGCUCUCACAAAAGUCACACGCAUUUGUGUCGGUAACUAAGGCCUACGGAAACCACUCAGCCUUAAGUGCACACAGGAGAACCAUGGAGUCGGAGUAAAAGGUAAUUUAACAUGAAUAUUUAUAUACUGUACAUACUGCGUGCCAUGAUUCACUCAGCGUAUUUUCAGUUUAUGCAUUUGCUUCCCAUUUGCAGUCUUUAUUUAUUACAAAGUUAAGGCCGUUAGCGAAAUAACACAUCAGAGUGGGUUCUCUCCCCCGCCCACCCCCGUCUUUAAAAAAUUUUCCUGCUUUCUAAUCUAUUUCUGGGCAAGUGUGCCAAUAUAGCAACAAAACCGGUCACAGCUGCCAAACCUCAGAGAGAUUCACGGAGUAUUGUACUGCGUGGAGUCUUUGCCAGGCCCGUACCACUGAGGGCUAUGCCCGGCCACCACGUGAGCCCUGUGGCUACGGAGCUGGGGCAGCUCCUAUCCAUCACCUUUAGUGACAGGAAUCACCCGCUGCUCUUUCAAGGUAGGGAUGCAGGUACCAAGACUGCGGGAGUGCUCACUGGGUGAUGGGAUCUGGAGCUAAAGAAGCUUGGCUUUAGGGCUCAGCACGUCCCCUUACUAGCUCUGGGAUGCCUAGCAAAUGACUUUCUACAUCCUUUCUACAAAUCCUCCGAGUCUCCAUUUUGUCUUCUCGCAAGACGAGCCCAAUACACUCAGCUUGACACGUGGCAAGCUCGAAAUACACAUAUGAUCCUGACAGUAACCCAGAGGUGAUGAGGAAAAGCACGGCGUAGGGGGGUUAAGUCCCUUCCUUAAUGCACACACCUACUGCAUUUUGGACCGAGUUGUCUGACCCGUUUAAUUCAUCCCAAAGCUUACAGUCUGUUCAUAAACAGACACCCACUGCACUAGCUCUUGCCACUUUCUACAAGAAAUAUGUAUUUGAAAUUGGGAAAAUUUGAACUUUUGGGGACCACGACCUGGAUACAAAUGCUAAGAAUAGGUUAAAGAAAGAGGAA